UACUCUUCAACACCUCGAGGACAUCUACCGGAGAGGACUAAGAAGUGUGCAAAUGUCGAGUGCUGAGUGCUUCUUAAAAUACGAAUAAAAUAGCGUUCGCCAACGUAUAAUACACUGUACAACUGGCCUACAACUCUAGGCACGGAACACUGGCAGCGGCCGGACGGCAGACUUGAAUGCGUCCAGGCUCGGGGCUGUCACUACUGCGGUGUGGAAUAGGAGUGGGUCGUGCCCAUCUGCCGCUUUCAAUGUGCAGCCUAUGUGAUGCCAGCCGUAAUUUAGAAAAAACUUAUUCGGAAUUUACUUAUUUGACAAUAAUUUAGCACUUCUAUCUCCUGACGACUUCCGGUUUCCAUAACACACUAUCGCACUUCCAACUCCUGACGACUUCGGGUUUUCAUCAUAUACGAUCGAACUUCCAACUCCUGACGACUUCGGGUUUCCAUCACACACGAUCGCACUUCCUACUCCUGACGACUUCGGGUUUCCAUCACACACUAUCGCACUUCCAACUCCUGACGACUUCGGGUUUCUAUCACACACGAUCGCUCUUCCAACUCCUGACGACUUCCGAUUUCCAUCACACUCAGUUGCGCUGCCAUACCCUGAAGA